rnacentral:rRNA from 1 species
AUUGAACGCUAGCGGGAUGCCUUACACAUGCAAGUCGAACGGCAGCACGGACUUCGGUCUGGUGGCGAGUGGCGAACGGGUGAGUAAUGUAUCGGAACGUGCCCAGUAGCGGGGGAUAACUACGCGAAAGCGUAGCUAAUACCGCAUACGCCCUACGGGGGAAAGCAGGGGAUCGUAAGACCUUGCACUAUCGGAGCGGUCGAUAUCGUAUUAGCUAGUGGGUGGGCUAACGGCUCACCAAGGCGACGAUCCGUAGCUGGUUUGAGAGGACGGCCAGCCACACUGGGACUGAGACACGGCCCAGACUCCUACGGGAGGCAGCAGUGGGGAAUUUUGGACAAUGGGGGAAACCCUGAUCCAGCCAUCCCGCGUGUGCGAUGAAGGCCUUCGGGUUGUAAAGCACUUUUGGCAGGAAAGAAACGUCAUGGGUUAAUACCCCGUGAAACUGACGGUACCUGCAGAAUAAGCACCGGCUAACUACGUGCCAGCAGCCGCAGUAACAC